GCCCCGGUAGCUCAGACUGGGAGAGAGAAACAAAAGUUUCCUCCAACGCCCGGCUGAAGACCGGGAUGUCGGCGGUUCAAGUCCGCCCCGGGGCA
rnacentral:tRNA from 1 species